rnacentral:rRNA from 1 species
UUGGGGCUAAGUCGUAACAAGGUAGCCGUACCGGAAGGUGUGGCUGGAACACCUCCUUUCUGGAG